AGCAGCCACUGCAGCUGUGAGCAGCAGCCGCGGUCUUCUGGUCUCAGCAGCUUCCUUUUCAAAGGCGUCACGCAGUUCCUAAGCACAAGAGAGAAAUAAUCAACAAUAAUGUUGGUAAAACAUCCUGUGGGAUUUCCAGACUGACCUGGCAGAGCACUGUGAACCUCUUCUUGUCCUCUGGUGGGCUUCCUCGUGCUCCAGGAUACUCCCAGUCCAGAUCCAGCCCAUCGAAGCCAUACAGCCUCAAGAACUUGAUAGAAGACUGGAUGAACCUCUGACGGUUGGCGGCAGAUGAAGCCAUGAUGGUAAACCUGUGCACACAUACAACAGUUCAUAGUUACACAAAGUGGUUUUAAAGUUCUCAAUCGUUAUGUGAGACAAUGUGAUCCAGCAGCUUCGUGAUGUUGUUGACUUACUGUGUAGUUCCAAAGUUCCAGCCACCAACAGCCAGCAGAGUCUUCAGCUCAGGGUUUCUGUGUAGGAGAUGGGAAAUGUAGAUCUGUCACUGAUGGUAAAUGUUUACAAGUGUGUGUUAAAAUAUUAUAAUCAAAUUUGUUUUCUAGGAUCUUUUUAUUUCCAGCUGACCCCAAAUUUGAUGCAACAGAAAUGGAGCGCAAAAAUUCUGCAUCAGUAUUUUACUACAUUUUUACUUAAACAGUUAAUUACUGUAUAAUUGAUUUAAGUACUCUACAGUAAAGCAUGAGAUUUACUGUAACUGUAACUAGACUUCCCAGUGAAAUACUAUAUUUAGAUAGUGUUGCCUGUUAAAUUAACCGUAGAAUUAACUGUAAUUGCCUAUUCAAUUCCACAUUUUGUUUUAUGGAUACUUACUAACACUGAUGUGAAUUUCAGACAUACAUCACAAAUAAGAAAUGUGUCUUUAAUCUUUAUGGUUGAGAAUUGAGAUGUACCAACUCUGUUUAAAUUCAAAAAUGCACAAAGCACUAACACACCUGAAACAAUAAUGGCUAAAAAUAACAAAAAUUAUAUUUUCAUGAUUUGACAACAUUCAUUCAAAGGUAGCAAUAUGUAAAAGAAUUAUGUUUUACAUAUGUUUACAUAUGUGUUUUUUGUUUUUCUCAUUAUUUACAUAUUUAAAGGGUAGCUGCACUGAUCAAAUAUCAGGUGUUUGAUCUAUGAAUUCCUUCGUAGUAAAACUGAUUAAUAGCACUUAAACAGUUCUACUAAAGCACCCCAUCGUUAUCCCUUGUCUUUCUAAUUAGAUGUGUAUCAAGCCACAGUUAAAGGGACAUUUCAGGGAGGAACAACUCACGAAUGCUUGAGUUCAUUGAAGGCUUUAUAAAGAACGUCGUCAUUCCACUCAUACGUUGACAGCUCAUUGGAGGGGCUGAUUACUGAGAAGGCAUAGAUCAAGUGUGUGCACAGGUUGGGGUCUACAUUGGCAGGCAGAUAUUUGCCAGCACCUGGUCUAUACUGGGACCAGUUGGUGAAGUAGCACACUAGUUUGGUAGAAGACACUGUUGGAAAGCAUAGAAGUAAUUAGAACUAGGUAGGUUAUUGAGAUGAAGAAGCAAGUGUUAGUAGCGUGCAAAUAAUAAUUCAUACCAAUUUGAAGGCACACCAAAAGGGACAAUCCUGAAAAAUAAUUUAAAUAUUGUCAUUUUCACAGGUUUUGCACAAGAUUGCUGCCUUUAAGUGAAUUCACACCUGAAAUAAAGCAACUUACCUGCCAAGAUUAUUAGUCGAGCCAUGUUUGAGGCUUUUCUUCAGAGUGACCUGCAACAGUAAAAAUAAUUCUUUCAUGAGUUAUUAUAAGUUUACAUACUAGAUUUUGGAAAAAUGUAAUUGAUUCUACAUGCUCUAGUGCAGCAUAUAUGGAUGCCGCACAUAGUCAAACUUGUAUCCCUGUAAAAAUGCAGCUAAUAUCUCUGUGUGGGUAGCUACCUGUUCCCAGGUAAGCAGCAGGCUGUGCUACUGAUCUGCUGGAGAGCCCUUCUUAUAUGCUUGAUAAAACAGGGACAAAGGCUGCAUACCAAUGACGUAAAGCGGAUACUUCAGGAGAUUAUUAUUGCUCUAGUGCACUCGGCCACUUUAGACUGCAAUGAGCUGUCAGAAAAUGACCGUCAAUAUCUUUAUUUAUUGACUGAUAAAUCUAGAUCAGAGCACAGAAGGUUAUGUAAACUUGUCCCUGUCAAGUGUUCUGUAUCAGGACAGGUGGUCAGUCUAAGCAUACAAGACACCUGAUAAAGUUGUAAUCAUAUAUGCAUUGUGUUUUGCGUAACAUCAGAAUUAGAAUAGUUUCCAUGGUAAUCUUAUCAUACACAACCAAUACCAUACUUCUGAAGUGGACUCUAGUUCACACACUGAUCAUUUGUCUCAACCUUCAAAUACAGAAGAGCAGCAAUGACUAUUUUUACUAUUGAUUAAUUUGAUUAUUUUCUUUCUAGUUGAUCAAUUGACCUGGCUUUGAAACAGUAAUUGUUUGUUAUUUUUUAAUUGCUUGUUUUGUCAAAUACAGAAGUUGAAAACCCAAAGAACCUCACUUUACUAUCAUAUGUGGCAAAACAAAAAAAUUAAACAAAAGACUGCAUUUGUGAAGCCAAAAACUACAAGAUGUUUGGCAUAUUUUCUUUUAGAAAAUCGUUAAAAUUGAUUUAAGCAUCAGAAUAGUUGUUAGAUUUUUUUUUUCUGUCAAAAAGCAAAACAAUUUAAUGAAUUACUAACCUUUUUUUGUAAAAUAUAGUUUACAUUUUCUUAAUGCAACCGGUCAUUUCAUUUGCAUUUCAUUUUACAAUCAAUGAACAAGUGUAAACAAACAAUAAACAAGUGCCCAAAGCUCCAGAACACUGAUUUUUAUCUCAGUUGAUCCCUGUCAUAUUAAUGUAACUGAUGUAACCAUAAUCUUUCUAAACAUUUUUCUGAUGUUUUGGAUUAAGUAUGAACAGGAUGUGUUUAGUUUUCAUGUGAGUGUGGACCUCUUUAGCAACAACAAGUAACCCAGAAAUAAAAGGCCAUGUUUGCUCAUCUCUA